ACUCGUCACCUGCAUAUCGCGCUAACAAAGCGUGUUGUUGUUGUAGUUGUUGGGUUCGUCCGCAGCGGCGUGAUCUGUGUUUUGCCCAUUGGAGCAAAACGGCGAAAUUUCCGGAGUAAGAUUUUGCACCGCCUGACGACGGGCCAGCAUGCACCGAAGGCCGCCUAUGCGCAGUUACAAGUAGUGUACCGAAUGCCCAUCUGCGCCCGAUGAGGCUGCUGUCGCCCUCUCUUGCUUUGCGAGCGUGAGCAAUGACGUGAGUCACGCCGGAUAUAUACGCUCCUAUCACUCUUAUCGCUAUCUUCGUUGCCGGGGCCAAGCGCAUCUUGGCGAACAGCUGAUACGCUUGGGCGGCAGUCAACACCCAUGGACUGUCUGACAGACGCCUUACUACUGUGCCAAGAUUCGGAGGCACUUGUGACAGAGCCGAGAGUCGAAAUGGACAGCGAUGGUUCCGGAGAGCCGCCGCAGGAAAAGGCCGCUCGCUUUUACGUCGACAAUCGCGUCCAGUACAUCCGCGGGUUCCUCGCCUCCAAAGGCGUCGACUUCGACAGACCCUGCACCUACGACAGCGACGGCGAUUGCUGGCUGUCGGGAGCACUGCCGCCGUGGAACAAGAUACUCUCAGCGGUGUGCCUCGAGCUCAUCGAGCUUCGACCGGCCACGCUCUGUCUCCGCUCCAUUGACGUGGACUCCAGAGGCAACAUAAGUGUGGAAGCGCUGAACUACGGCGGGUAUCUCUUCACGUGGCUACCCAAACAGCACGCCUGUGUGCAGUCGAUAUGCCUAGUUGAAAGCCUGCUGUUCAAAAAGCCGGCGUUCGCGCUCAAGCUAGCGCUCGGAUCGAGCGCCCGCUUGCGUCAUCUCACUCUCAAGGGCGGCCACUGGACGCCUUUCAGCGAGCGAGACCUGUCCGACGGCAUGGCGGCGCUGAAGACGCUCGAGACCUUCGAGUUCCUCAAGCUGGACAUCACUUCCCGCAGCCUAGCACACGAUAUCGCCGCCCUCCUGCGGGAAAACGGGAGACACCUCCUCAAAGUGCGCUUCGAGCGCAAUGACCUCUCGCAGUGUAGCACAGCCGUCAUUCUCAAAGCGCUCCUCAAGUGUCAGGUUCUCUCUGAACUCUCGUUCGACCACAACAACCUGAACAAGGACAAUGUCGAGGCGCUGGCCGCGGUCGUACGUUCCCUCCGGAACCUGAAGAAGCUGACCCUUCACUACAGCAUGUCGGAAGGUGGACCCUCCGGCCCCAUUGCAAAGGCCCUAGAGAGCAACACAUCACUCGAGGAGCUAAGCUUGAAAGCCUGCCAUAUUCCGUUUGAAUUGCUCUUCGAGGCUCUGCAGACCAACACAACGUUGAAGGUGUUGGACAUGGACUCUUGCCCAAUGACCUGCAGCGAAGUGAGGCACCUUGUCAGAGCCCUGACAUUCAACAAAGGCCUGCGGACAGUACUGCUGCCACGCUGCCACCUGGGAGACGAGGGCACAUUGGAACUUGCCAAUGCGAUGGCUAAAAACGACACGCUCGAAAAACUCAACCUGUUAUAUAACGGGUGUGGUGCUCGGGCUGUCAUGGCUUUCUGCCAGUCUCUGAUGAAUAAUCGCAGCCUAAGGAGCGUCAGCUUUGGACUAACCUCAUUGUCGGAUCAGGAGAGGCUGCCAUUUUGUGGAUGGUGCCUUCCGUACAUCUUCAUCUGUAUUGUGACUUGCCCGCUGUCCCUCUUCAGCUGCCGCCUGCUUCGGCAAACCGCACGCCAGUUCCGGUGGGAACAAACUACCCCAUCUGGCAACCUGGAAUCGCGGCACCAGGUGGUGGCACAGACUGCGCGGGAUUCAUAAGCCAGCCAGGAGCCGUCUACUUCGGGCACGACAUCGUGCCAAGCAUGCCAAGCUUACGGUGGUUGCUCUUACAGGCUGCCAUUUCGUGGAUGGUGCCUUCCGUACAUCUUCAUCUGAAUUGUGACUUGCCCACUGUCCCUCUUCAGCUGCCGCCUGCUUCGGCAAACCGCACGCCAGUUCCGGUGGGAACAAACUACCCCAUCUGGCAACCUGGAAUCGCGGCACCAGGUGGUGGCACAGACGGCGCGGGAUUCAUAAGCCAGCCAGGAGCCGUCCACUUCGGGCACGACAUCGCGCCAAGCAUGCCAAGCUUACGGUGGUUGCUCUUACAGGAGGGAGCUGUCUUAUCAACUGAGCCAAAAAGAGUGCUAUGGUCUCAUUGCGCUGCCGUGGGUGGAUGCUGACCUGACUCCCUUGACGAUAGCGCUGACGGCGGAUGCUCAGUCUCUCCGAGAACUUGACCUCGGUGAUGUGGACAACUUCUCCUGCUCUCUCUUGUGCUCACUUUUUGACGCUCUC
rnacentral:misc_RNA from 1 species